rnacentral:rRNA from 1 species
GGUCGCAAGAUUAAAACUCAAAGGAAUUGACGGGGGCCUGCACAAGCAGUGGAGCAUGUGGUUUAAUUCGAAGCAACGCGCAGAACCUUACCAGCGUUUGACAUCCUAAUCGCGGUUUUCAGAGAUGAUUACCUUCAGUUCGGCUGGAUUAGUGACAGGUGCUGCAUGGCUGUCGUCAGCUCGUGUCGUGAGAUGUUGGGUUAAGUCCCGCAACGAGCGCAACCCUCGUCCUUAGUUGCCAUCAUUCAGUUGGGCACUCUAAGGAAACUGCCGGUGAUAAGCCGGAGGAAGGUGGGGAUGACGUCAAGUCCUCAUGGCCCUUACACGCUGGGCUACACACGUGCUACAAUGGCGGUGACAGUGGGCAGCAACCGGGCGACCGGUAGCUAAUCUCCAAAAACCGUCUCAGUUCGGAUUGUUCUCUGCAACUCGAGAGCAUGAAGGCGGAAUCGCUAGUAAUCGCGGAUCAGCAUGCCGCGGUGAAUACGUUCCCAGGCCUUGUACACACCGCCCGUCACACCAUGGGAUUUGGAUUCACCCGAAGGCAGUGCGCUAACCGCAAGGAGGCAGCUGACCACGGUGGGUUUAGAGACUGGGGUG